rnacentral:rRNA from 1 species
AUAUUAUUAAGCGGAGGAAAAGGAAAUAACAAUGAUUCCCUGAGUAACGGCGAGUGAAAAGGGAAUAGCUCAAUUUUGAAUCGGGUGCCGUCAGGUACUCGAGUUGUAAUCUUAAGACGUGUGGUCAGUGUGUGACUGGUGUCUAACUCCUUUGAAAAGGGGGAACGCGGAGGGUGACAUUCCCGUAAGCGACACCGUGUUCACCACGUACGAUACACGAUCUACGAGUAGAGUUGUUUGGGAUCACAGCUCGAAUUGGGAGGUAAACUUCUCCUAAGGCUAAAUAUUGGUGGGAGACCGAUAGCGCACAAGUA